rnacentral:rRNA from 1 species
GAUGAACGCUGGCUACAGGCUUAACACAUGCAAGUCGAGGGGAAACGACGGGGAAGCUUGCUUCCCCGGGCGUCGACCGGCGCACGGGUGAGUAACGCGUAUCCAACCUGCCUCUGACUGAGGGAUAACCCGUCGAAAGUCGGCCUAAUACCUCAUGGCAUCGUCUGCGGGCAUCCAACGACGAUUAAAGAUUUCAUCGGUCAGGGAUGGGGAUGCGUCUGAUUAGCUUGUUGGCGGGGUAACGGCCCACCAAGGCUACGAUCAGUAGGGGUUCUGAGAGGAAGGUCCCCCACAUGGUAACUGAGCCCCGGUCAACACUCCUAGGGGCGGAAGCGGGGAGGAAUUUGGGUGAGUGGGCGGGAGCUUGACCCAGCCAGGUGGGGGGAAGGAUGACGGCCUUAUGGGUUUUAAUCUUCUUUUAGGGGGGAAAAAGGGGAGGGACGGGUCCUUCAUUGAGGUGACCGAAUAAAUAGGGCCCGGCUAAUCCCGUC